GCAGCCGCGGUAAUACGUAGGUGGCAAGCGUUGUCCGGAUUUACUGGGUGUAAAGGGCGUGUAGACGGGACUGCAAGUCAGAUGUGAAAUUUAUGGGCUCAACCCAUAACCUGCAUUUGAAACUGUGGUUCUUGAGUGAUGGAGAGGUAAGCGGAAUUCCUAGUGUAGCGGUGAAAUGCGUAGAUAUUAGGAGGAACACCGGUGGCGAAGGCGGCUUACUGGACAUUAACUGACGUUGAGGCGCGAAAGUGUGGGGAGCAAACAGGAUUAGAUACCCC
rnacentral:rRNA from 1 species